CUGUGCUUAGGCAAUCACAUGGUUAAAAAACUUUGUGCUUGCAAGUCUUCCUCCCUCCUCCCCCUCCUUCUUUGUUGCUUUCUCUUGCUCUGACUGCUAUGAGUAUUGGCUACAGGGGGGUGGGGUGAAUGGGUGAAAUGCUUGUAAACUCAGUGAGGAAUGUGAGGGAAACAAGGUAUAUUUGCUGGACGAAUAACCUAGUUAGGAACUUUGUGUAAUCUUGUAUAUGUUGUUAAGUAAGAGGUUAUUGGCAUGUUGGAAUAAGGAAAGUUAGAUUUUGUUGGAACAAAUGAAUUGUGGAAUUUAUAAAUGAUAUUGCAGAGAAAAGUAAAUUGCAGUUUGCAUAUAAUAGCAGCUAUUCAGAUGCUGUAUUGUGGCAAUCUUUAUACACACAAUGUGAAAUUGCC